GGCAUUGUGGUCAAGUGGUAAGAUAUUGGUCUGUAAACUGAAGAUCAGGGUUUCAAACCCUGUCUGUGCCU
rnacentral:tRNA from 1 species